rnacentral:misc_RNA from 1 species
GUGAAGACGUAGCGAAAUGCGAUAAGUAAUGUGAAUUGCAGAAUUCAGUGAAUCAUCGAAUCUUUGAACGCACAUUGCGCCCGCCAGUAUUCUGGCGGGCAUGCCUGUUCGAGCGUCAUUUCAACCAUCAAGCCCCCGGGCUUGUGUUGGGGACCUGCGGCUGCCGCAGGCCCUGAAAAGCAGUGGCGGGCUCGCUGUCACACCGAGCGUAGUAGAUUUUAUCUCGCUCAGGGCGUGCUGCGGGUUCCGGCCGUUAAACCACCUUCAUAACCCAAGGUUGACCUCGGAUCAGGUAGGAAGACCCGCUGAACUUAAGCAUAUCAAUAAGCGGAGGA